GCGCUUUCUUCAGUAGCACAUGUUUUAAAAUUGAAAUGCUAGAGAGAGGAUUGGCAUAGCCCUGUGCAAGGAGAUUCAUGUAAUGUUCCAUAUUUUU
ensembl:snRNA U6 U6 spliceosomal RNA